rnacentral:SRP_RNA from 1 species
GCCGGGCAUGGUGGCGCAUGCCUGUAGUCCUAGCUACUCGGGAGGCUGAGGUGGGGGGGGGUCGCCUGGGACCAGGAGUUCUGGGCUGUGGUGUGCCGUGCCAAUCAUGUGUCCUCACUGAGGUAGGCAUCAAUAUGGUGACCUCCUGGGAGCAGGGGACCACCAAGCUGCUUAAGGAAAGGUAAACUGCCCCAGGUUGAAAACAGAGCAGGUCAAAACUCCCAUGCUGAUCAGUAGUGGGAUCGUGCCAGUGAAUAGCCACUGCACUCCAGCCUGGGCAACAUAACGAGACCCUGUCUCCA